rnacentral:rRNA from 1 species
CCCUUAGAUGUUCUGGGCCGCACGCGCGCUACACUGAUAAUGUCAACAAGCUUUACCUUGGCCGAUAGGUCUGGGCAAUCUUCGAACUAUUAUCGUGAUGGGGCUAGAUUAUUGCAACUAUUAAUCUUAAACGAGGAAUUCCUAGUAAGCGCGAGUCAUCAGCUCGCGUUGAUUACGUCCCUGCCCUUUGUACACACCGCCCGUCGCUCCUACCGAUUGGAUUGGCUGGUGAAGCGUUCGGAUUGUGGGUUCGGAGCGGUUCGCCGUUCUGGGCUUGCGAGAAGUUCGUUAAACCCUCCUAUCUAGAGGAAGGAGAAGGCGUAACA